ACUGAGCGCGGGUUGCGAGGCGGACGUGACGUCACAAAGCGACUGCUCCUCCCAGGUUCCGCCCCAGGGCGCGCAACGCACGCUGGCCCUUGUAGUCCUUGGGGCGCGGAGCCCGGCCGUGACACAGGUACCUGCGCUUGGAGACCACCAGCAGCCUCUGGCGACACGCUUAGCGACGCGAGAAACAGUUCCAAGGAAAAGGACCACAGCCCUCCUCCAUGGCAGGUGCGGCAAGUGUAAUUCGUUGUAGUUCGGUCUCCUCAGUUCCCAACCCCACCACUAUCCAGCCGGUUCAUGGAGAGGAGAGGUGCACUUGGCAGGUCCCUGAUGAACCAAGAGAACCCUCCACCGUAUCCUGGCCCUGGUCCAAUGGCCCCAUACCCACCUUAUCUACAACCACCAAUGAGUCCAGGACCUGUGGGGGUACCCUACCUGCCUCCUCAGGGGUACCCUAAGGAUACCGACAGUAUGGC